GACGAACGCUGGCGGCGUGCCUAAUACAUGCAAGUUGAGCGAUGAAGAUUGGUGCUUGCACCAAUUUGAAGAGCAGCGAACGGGUGAGUAACGCGUGGGGAAUCUGCCUUUGAGCGGGGGACAACAUUUGGAAACGAAUGCUAAUACCGCAUAACAACUUUAAACAUAAGUUUUAAGUUUGAAAGAUGCAAUUGCAUCACUCAAAGAUGAUCCCGCGUUGUAUUAGCUAGUUGGUGAGGUAAAGGCUCACCAAGGCGAUGAUACAUAGCCGACCUGAGAGGGUGGUCGGCCACAUUGGGACUGAGACACGGCCCAAACUCCUACGGGAGGCAGCAGUAGGGAAUCUUCGGCAAUGGACGAAAGUCUGACCGAGCAACGCCGCGGGAGUGAAGAAGGGUUUCGGAUCGUAAAACUCUGUUGGUAGAGAAGAACGUUGGUGGGAGUGGAAAGCUCAUCAAGUGACGGUAACUACCCAGAAAGGGACGGCUAACUACGUG
rnacentral:rRNA from 1 species